rnacentral:rRNA from 1 species
GGAUGCGAUCAUACCAGCACUAAAGCACCGGAUCCCAUCAGAACUCCGAAGAUAAGCGUGCUUGGGCGAGAGUAGUACUAGGAUGGGUGACCUCCUGGGAAGUCCUCGUGUUGCAUUCC